UUGGAGUCUGUUCGACUUUUAAACAAUUACAUGAAUUGAGUUCAGACCGGUGUAAACCAGGUCGGUUUCUAUCUUUUUAAAAUUUUUUGUAGUACGAAAGGACCUAAAAAAUUAAUUUUAUU
rnacentral:rRNA from 1 species